rnacentral:rRNA from 1 species
GACGAACGCUGGCGGCGUGCCUAAUACAUGCAAGUUGAGCGCUGAAGGUUGGUACUUGUACCAACUGGAUGAGCAGCGAACGGGUGAGUAACGCGUGGGGAAUCUGCCUUUGAGCGGGGGACAACAUUUGGAAACGAAUGCUAAUACCGCAUAAAAACUUUAAACACAAGUUUUAAGUUUGAAAGAUGCAAUUGCAUCACUCAAAGAUGAUCCCGCGUUGUAUUAGCUAGUUGGUGAGGUAAAGGCUCACCAAGGCGAUGAUACAUAGCCGACCUGAGAGGGGGGACGGCCACAAUGGGAACGGAGAAAGGCCCAAACUCCUACGGGAGGCAGCAGUAGGGAAUCUUCGGCAAUGGACGAAAGUCUGACCGAGCAACGCCGCGUGAGUGAAGAAGGUUUUCGGAUCGUAAAACUCUGUUGGUAGAGAAGAACGUUGGUGAGAGUGGAAAGCUCAUCAAGUGACGGUAACUACCCAGAAAGGGACGGCUAACUACGUG